GACAGUGUGGUGUAGUGGUUUGAGCGAUAGCCUAUGACUCUGAGAGACCAGGGUUCAAAUCCCAGCUUGGCCA